UAACAUGGAAUAAGAAGGUCCCGCCUGCCCUGGUGACUAUAUGUUUAACGGCCGCGGUAUUUUGACCGUGCGAAGGUAGCGUAAUCACUUGUCUCUUAAAUGGGGACCUGUAUGAAUGGCAUAACGAGGGUUCAACUGUCUCCUCUCUCAAGUCAGUUAAAUUGAUCUCCCCGUGCAGAAGCGGGGAUAACCUCAUAAGACGAGAAGACCCUAUGGAGCUUUAGACACCAAGGUAGAUUUAUGUUUAACCUUCUCCGACAAGAAAAGAAAAACUAAAUAAACUCCUACCCUAAUGUCUUUGGUUGGGGCGACCGUGGGGCACACAAAACCCCCACGUGGACCAGGAGCACAACUACUCCCACAGCUAAGAGCUACCGCUCUAAUAAGCAGAAUUUCUGACCAAUAAUGAUCCGACAGCGUCGAUCAACGAACCGAGUUACCCUAGGGAUAACAGCGCAAUCUCCUUUUAGAGUCCAUAUCGACAAGGAGGUUUACGACCUCGAUGUUGGAUCAGGACAUCCUAAUGGUGCAGCCGCUAUUAAGGGUUCGUUUGUUCAACGAUUAAAGUCCUACGUGAUCUGAGUUCAGAACCGGAAG
rnacentral:rRNA from 1 species